AUUGAACGCUGGCGGCAGGCUUAACACAUGCAAGUCGAGCGGGGUGAUGGUGCUUGCACUAUCACUUAGCGGCGGACGGGUGAGUAAUGCUUAGGAAUCGGCCUAUUAGUGGGGGACAACAUCUCGAAAGGGAUGCUAAUACCGCAUACGUCCUACGGGAGAAAGCAGGGGAUCACUUGUGACCUUGCGCUAAUAGAUGAGCCUAAGUCGGAUUAGCUAGUUGGUGGGGUAAAGGCCUACCAAGGCGACGAUCUGUAGCGGGUCUGAGAGGCUGAUCCGCCCCACUGGGACUGAGACACGGCCCAGACUCCUACGGGAGGCAGCAGUGGGGAAUAUUGGACAAUGGGGGGAACCCUGAUCCAGCCAUGCCGCGUGUGUGAAGAAGGCCUUAUGGUUGUAAAGCACUUUAAGCGAGGAGGAGGCUCUUUUGGUUAAUACCCAAGAUGAGUGGACGUUACUCGCAGAAUAAGCACCGGCUAACUCUGUGCCAGCCGCCGCGGUAAAAC
rnacentral:rRNA from 1 species